rnacentral:rRNA from 1 species
GGCGCCCUAGGGUAAAGCCGGUGAUUGGGGCUAAGUCGUAACAAGGUAGCCGUACCGGAAGGUGCGGCUGGAACACCUCCUUUCUGGAGC